UCCAUUCUGGUAUAAAAGAAAUUAUAAUCAUAUUUUUAACUGUAUCACUACAAUAUUUUCAAACUUGUCUAAAUAAUUCAGUAGGAUUUGCCACAGACUGUUAAGUUUCUAGGCAUUUAUGCGCCAUAACCUUUUAGGAGUUUUAAUAGCUUAGAUUGAUUCUUUUUUAUUCAAAAUCUUAAAGACAAACCAACAUCAUAACCUAAACAUGUGUAAUCUAAUUACUCUUUUUUGUUUUACAGAAUAGGUAUUAAAUAGGAAUGUUAGCCUAAGUUAGGUAUUUAUAUAUGAUGCAAAAUGAAUUUUAACUCCAGGCUCUUGUAAGCAACAGAAAUCUAACAACGCUGGCCAAUGAAAAGUUUAAAAUAGUCAGAAAUCAACUAAAGAUAAACAACACACUCGUGCGAUAUAUGACGUCAUAACCACCCACUUCAGAAUUUUCCAGAAGAUUUCCAAAAUGACGUCAGUCAGAAGACAAUUUUUAUUGAACAAAGCAAGGACCAGUAAGUUUAAACCUUUGACCUUUAACAUUUUGACCUGUUACUAUAUCUAACAACAACAUAUAUACAUCAAACAAUAAUAUUAAAUAUUUUGUGUAUUUUUGUCACUUUUUAAAAGUAAUAUCAAAACAACAAAUAGGGAAAUACGAAGCGUGAACAAUCAUAAAAUGCACAGCGUAAUAAUCGACAAAAAAUGAAUUCUUCGCGGUUAGCACCUUUUAAG